GCAUAUCAAUAAGCGGAGGAAAAGAAACUAACAAGGAUUCCCCUAGUAACUGCGAGUGAAGCGGGAAAAGCUCAAAUUUAAAAUCUGGCGGUCUUUGGCCGUCCGAGUUGUAGUCUGGAGAAGUGUUUUCCGUGCUGGACCGUGUACAAGUCUCUUGGAACAGAGCGUCAUAGAGGGUGAGAAUCCCGUCUUUGACACGGACUACCAGUGCUUUGUGAUGCGCUCUCAAAGAGUCGAGUUGUUUGGGAAUGCAGCUCAAAAUGGGUGGUAAAUUCCAUCUAAAGCUAAAUAUUGGCGAGAGACCGAUAGCGAACAAGUACCGUGAGGGAAAGAUGAAAAGCACUUUGGAAAGAGAGUUAAACAGUACGUGAAAUUGCUGAAAGGGAAACGCUUGAAGUCAGUCGCGUUGAUCAGAACUCAGCCUUGCUUUUGCUUGGUGCAUUUUCUGGUUGACGGGCCAGCAUCGAUUUUGACCAUCGGAAAAAGGCUAGGGGAAUGUGGCACCUUCGGGUGUGUUAUAGCCCUUAGUCACAUACGGUGGUUGGGAUCGAGGACCGCAGCACGCCUUUAUGGCCGGGGUUCGCCCACGUUCGUGCUUAGGAUGCUGGCGUAAUGGCUUUAAACGACCCGUCUUGAAACACGGACC
rnacentral:rRNA from 1 species